rnacentral:rRNA from 1 species
AUUGAACGCUGGCGGCAGGCCUAACACAUGCAAGUAGAACGAGUGGCGGACGUGUGAGUAAUAUCUAGGCAACUGCCUGAUGGCGAGUAAUAACGAAUGGACACGGUAAAUAAUAACGCCUAACGUCAUAUGUGCCCAGCUUGGUGUAGCUUGUGGGUGUGGUAACGGCUCACCAAGGCGACGCUCCCUAGCUGGUCUGAGAGGAUGACCAGCCACACUGGAACGGAGACACGGUCCAGACUCCUACGGGAGGCAGCAGUGGGGAAGAUUGCAAAAUGGGCGCAAGCCUGACGCAGCCAGGCCGCGUGUAUGAAGAAGGCUUUCGGGUGGUAAAGCACUUUCAGAGGGGAGGCGUUACCCGAAGAAGAAGCACAGGCUAACUCAGGUCCAGCCGCCGCGGUAAUUC